rnacentral:rRNA from 1 species
CCUACGGGAGGCAGCAGUGAGGAAUCUUGGUCAAUGGCCGGAAGGCUGAACCAGCCAUGCCGCGUGAAGGUCAGUGCCCUAUGGGCGUUAAACUUCUUUUGUGCGGGAGCAAUAAUGGUCACGUGUGGCCAGACGAGAGUACCGUAUGAAUAAGCAUCGGCUAACUCCGUGCCAGCAGCAGCGGUAAUACGGGGGAUGCAAUCGUUAUCCGGAUUUAUUGGGUUUAAAGGGUGCGUAGGGGGUGAGGUAAGUCAGCGGUGAAAUUCCCCCGCUCAACGGGGUGAAGUGCCAUUGAUACUGCCUUGCUGGAAUGCGGAUGCGGUGGGAGGAAUGUGUGGUGUAGCGGUGAAAUGCAUAGAUAUCACACAGAACACCGAUUGCGAAGGCAUCUCACGAAUCCGCGAUUGACGCUGAUGCACGAAAGCGUGGAUAUCAAACAGGAUUAGAUACCCGAGUAGUC